UCAGCUUCAUUCUGAGCCGAGCCCGGUUCCGAGGGCAGGUAGCUCCGCAGACGGCGGCGGCGGCGGCGGCGACGGCGGCGGCGGCGGCGGCGGACUGAGCUCCGGGGCAGCCCGCUCCCUCCUCCCGGUCUCUCAUUCCCCGCGAUCAGCAUGAAAGCCUUCAGUCCAGUGAGGUCCGUUAGGAAAAACAGCCUUUCGGACCACAGCCUGGGCAUCUCCCGGAGCAAAACCCCGGUGGACGACCCGAUGAGCCUGCUGUAUAACAUGAACGACUGCUACUCCAAGCUCAAGGAGCUGGUGCCCAGCAUCCCCCAGAACAAGAAGGUGAGCAAGAUGGAAAUCCUGCAGCACGUCAUCGACUACAUCUUGGACCUGCAGAUCGCCCUGGACUCGCACCCCACUAUUGUCAGCCUGCACCACCAGCGACCCGGGCAGAGCCAGGCGUCCAGGACGCCGCUGACCACCCUAAACACGGACAUCAGCAUCCUGUCCUUUCAGGUAAGACCUGCUCCCAUGCCCCGCUCGCUGCCGCGCACCCCCAGCGAUGCCUGGGCUGCCCCUGGCAGAGCCAUUGUCCAGACGGACGGCCGUAGUCGGUGACUUACAGAUGAACUAAUAACUUUAUUAUUAUUAUUUACAAAUAUGGUGUAGAUUGAGUCGUGCGUGAAAUUACUGGUAAGUUCUAACCUGUUAAUGCAUCUGUCUUUGAGUCUGAAUGUAGCAUUAACGUAUUUAAUGGAACUUGCUGUUUAAACAAAAACUGUUUUAAAAAAGGCCCUUUCUCCUUAAGAUUGUCUAACGUUGUGCCUCUCAUCUCCUUUCUCGCAGGCUUCUGAAUUCCCUUCUGAGUUAAUGUCAAAUGACAGCAAAGCGCUCUGUGGCUGAAUAAAUGUCUUUUGCAGGCGCUGACUUUUUGUUUCCUUUGCACAAUAACAACAACAACUCCACAGGCUCUUUUAAGGCGCUGAACUCACUUUUCAACCCUUUCCCAAGGAGGACAGCAAGUCAAAGGGACCUUUUUUAAAAAUGGAAGGAAAACUGAGAACGAUCAACUUCCCCGGGGUGUUUUCUGACAUGGACUGUGAUAUUAGUUAUUUAUGAAAAAGACUUUUAAAUGCCCUUUCUGCAGUUGGAAGGUUUUCUUUAUAUACUAUUCCCACCAUGGGGAGCGAAAACGUUAAAAUCACAAGGAAUUGCCCAAUUUAAGCAGACUUUGCCUUUUUUCAAAGGUGGAGCGUGAAUACCGGAAGGAUCCAGUAUUCAGUUACUUAAAUGAAGACUUUCGGUCAGAAAUUACCUUUUUGACGCAAGCCUACUGAAUGCUGUGUAUAUAUUUAUAUAUAAAUAUAUAUAUAUUGAGUGAAACCUUGUGAACUCUUUAAUUAGAGUUUUCUUGUACAGUGGCAGAAAUGUAUAUUUCUGCAUACAAAGUGUAAUGAUGUACUUAUUCAUGCUAAACUUUUUAUAAAAGUUUAGUUGUAAACUUAACCCUUUUAUACAAAAUAAAUCAAGUGUGUUUAUUGAAUGGUGAUUGCCUGCUUUAUUUCAGAGGACCAGUGCUUUGAUUUUUAUUAUGCUGUUAUAUAACUGAACCCAAAUAAAUACAAGUUCAAAUUUAUGUAGACUG